AACGAACGCUGGCGGCAUGCCUAACACAUGCAAGUCGAACGAGACCUUCGGGUCUAGUGGCGCACGGGUGCGUAACGCGUGGGGACCUGCCCUUAGGUUCGGAAUAACUCCCCGAAAGGGGUGCUAAUACCGGAUGAUGUCUUCGGACCAAAGAUUUAUCGCCUUUGGAUGGGCCCGCGUUGGAUUAGCUAGUUGGUAGGGUAAAAGCCUACCAAGGCGACGAUCCAUAGCUGGUCUGAGAGGAUGAUCAGCCACACUGGGACUGAGACACGGCCCAGACUCCUACGGGAGGCAGCAGUGGGGAAUAUUGGACAAUGGGCGAAAGCCUGAUCCAGCAAUGCCGCGUGAGUGAUGAAGGCCUUAGGGUUGUAAAGCUCUUUUACCCGGGAUGAUAAUGACAGUACCGGGAGAAUAAGCUCCGGCUAACUCCGUG
rnacentral:rRNA from 1 species